AAAUAGUGCUGAAUUUGUUAUCCAAAUGAUAAAUGAAAAACCUUGACGGCCGUCUAGAUAUUCUUCCAUUUCUAUAUAUAUAGCUAACGUUUAUGAUGAAUUUCCAUGAAACUAAUGCUCAAAGAAAAGGAGCGAGGGGCUCACAGAACCAUAAAUAUUAAUUAAUUAUUGCUCUUAAUCAUCUUCAUUUGUUGUUAUUGCAGAUCAUAAUCCUGUUACUCUGGACAAUCAAAUUCAAAGCAUCAGAAGCUUCAUGUCAAACGAGUUGUGGUAAAGUCCAAAUAAGCUAUCCCUUUGGAAUUGAAGCAGGCUGCUUCUUCAAUGAACGGUUUGAAAUAACCUGCAACAUCUCUUCUACUCCCUCUGGACAACCUUUCUUGACUAAGAUGAAGCUGAAACUAGCAGAAGACACUGCUGCUAUGAGCUUCGGGAUAGGUGUCGAAAUGCCUGCAAUUUCUUUAAAAAACACUUCUACAGAGAGAAAGUAAUGCACAAUUUAAGGUGUCGCUGGAAGUUUUCAGCUACAGAUAGGGGAUGAGCUUUUGAUGUAACAAAGCAAGACAUACAAAAUGAAGAGAAUCAUCUCUUUGUGUGACAUGAUGAACAGGGAAUCAUGGAAGCAUAGGAAAGUUCAAAAGAAGCUAAUUGUAAUGCCAUCAUCUUAUCGUCUUCUUCUCAUAUUCAUUGACUGCCAGAUUGACUCUCAACGACCGAGAAUCCCAAGGUUAAGAGCUGCCCGACAGAAAUUGAUCCAGAUUGGUUGAUGAUGCAAGAAGCUAGAAGGCGCUAAUCUAUUGAUCACAAAUUAAUUUUUUUUUUUUUUUUAAUUAAGGCUUCGUUUGAUACGAAUAAUCUGAAUAGAGUUUAUAUAUUGAAGUAGGGGUUUUAUUAGAGUCUGAACUUGUUAAUUGUUUGGUUAAGAAGAUGAAAAAGUUUUCUAGUAAUAAUAUAUCAAAACUUUUUUAAUAUACAAGAAUGGAUUUCUGUCAAAUUAUAAAAUACGAUAGAGAUAUUUGAAAAUUUUAACA